rnacentral:rRNA from 1 species
UUAUAUUCAUUUAAAUAUUUUUAUUGUAACCCAUUUCUACUUAAAUAUUAGCUACACCUUGAUCUGAUAUAUUUUCUUUUUAAAAAUUAUGAAAAUUAACAUUCUUAUAAAAUAUUCUAAUAACGACGGUAUAUAAACUGAUUACAAACUUAAGUAAGGUCCAUCGUGGAUUAUCGAUUACAGAACAGGUUCCUCUGAAUAGACUAAAAUACCGCCAAAUUUUUUAAGUUUCAAGAACAUAACUACUACUACCUUAGUUUUUAAAUUUACAUUUUAAAUAAUAGGGUAUCUAAUCCUAGUUUAUUAUUAAAAUUUUCAAGCUUCAAUUAUUUUAUAUAAAAAAUUUAUAAAUUUAAAAUUUCACCUAAUAAAUUUAUUUUUAUUUUAUAAAUAAACAACUUAACUUUAACCAAAGAAAAUUUAUUUGCAUUAUUCGUAUAACCGCGGCUGCUGGCACAAAUUUAGCCAAUACUCUUUAAUAUUACUAUUUCUAAGUUUCCUUAAUUAAUAAUACUAAUUACUGCGAAUACAAUUAACUUAUUUAUUAUUUAAAUAAAUAAAAAGUCACACAAAAAUUUACAUGUAAAUUAAAUUAAUAAUAAAUUUACAAGCCAAAAUAAAACUUUAUACCAUCAAUUAUAAAAU